rnacentral:lncRNA from 1 species
UGUCAUGUACUUCUCAAGGCCCAGUUUUUGAAUUUUUCUUGUUCCGGAAUGGGGUACUUCUUUUGCUGGGAGGGGUAUUCUAUGGCUUCCUCUUUGUUGAAUUAGAAGAGGGUCUAUGAUCUAUAGAUAGGGAGCUUUUUAAUGUCUGAAAGAUAGAGGAUAUUAAGACUGUAGAGGGCACAUGUAGGUCGGUCGAGCAAGAAGAUUUGACUAGGAUAGCGUUGUGGCUAUCAGAGUCUUUUGAGAGCACUGGAUUUGGACCGUUGGGUGGUGGGGGUGGGAGCCAUUUAAAAGAUAGACCAACAACAUCAAGAAGAGUAGAGAGGGAAGGAGCUAGGUUAGGCAUCCUUGAAGAAUUUAAAUUUUCUCAGAAACGGUUUAGAGCCUGUAAGCUGAGAUAGGUGUAACGGAUGGGUGGGAAGGAGUAUGAGAUAG